GGGGGUAUAGCUCAGCUGGGAGAGCGCUAGAUUCGCAUUUUAGAGGCCAGCGGUUCGAUCCCGCUUACCUCCACCA
rnacentral:tRNA from 13 species